rnacentral:rRNA from 1 species
UGAAUACGAGACGCUAAGGCGUCGAAGUAGUGUAUGUCAUACUUCCAAGAAAAGCUUGCACUGUCAUAGAUAAAAAACGCCUGUACCAUAACCGACACAGGUGGGUAGGUAGAGUAUACUAAGGGGCGCGAGAUAACUCUCUCUAAGGAACUCGGCAAAAUAACUCCGUAACUUCGGGAGAAGGAGUGCCUUAUUCGUAAGGUUGCAAUAACAAGAUCCAAGCAACUGUUUAUCAAAAACACAGGUCUCCGCUAAGUCGUAAGACGAUGUAUGGGGGCUGACGCCUGCCCAGUGCCAGAAGGUUAAAGAAGUUGGUUAGCAAUUGCGAAGCUGAUAACUGAAGCCCUGGUGAACGGCGGCCGUAACGAUAACGGUCCUAAGGUAGCGAAAUUCCUUGUCGGGUAAGUUCCGACCCGCACGAAAGGCGUAAUGAUUUGGAUACUGUCUCGGAGAGGGGCUCGGUGAAAUAGACUUGUCUGUGAAGAUGCGGACUACCUGCACCAGGACAGAAAGACCCUAUGAAGCUUUACUGUAACUUGAAAUUGAAAUUUGACUUUAUUCGCGCAGUAUAGGUGGGAGGCGUUGAUUAUAAUCUUGUGGGAUUAUUGGAGCCAUCAGUGAGAUACCACUCUUGUAAUGUUAGAUUUCUAACUUUGAAUCAUUAUCUGGUCAAAGAACAGUUUCAGGCGGGCAGUUUGACUGGGGCGGUCGCCUCCUAAACGGUAACGGUGGCGUACAAAGGUUUCCUCUGAACGGUUAGAAAUCGUAUCUAGAGUGUAAAGGCAUAAGGAAGCUUGACUGUGAGACCUACAAGUCGAGCAGGGACGAAAGUCGGUCUUAGUGAUCUGACGGUACUGAUUGGAAAGGCCGUCACUCAACGGAUAAAAGUUACUCUAGGAUAACAGGCUGAUCUCCCCCAAGAGUUCACAUCGACGGGGAGGUUUGGCACCUCGAUGUCGGCUCAUCGCAUCCUGGGGCGGUAGUACGUCCCAAGGGUUGGGCUGUUCGCCCAUGAAAGCGGUACGCGAGCUGGGUUCAGAACGUCGUGAGACAGUUCAGUCCAUAUCCGGUGUAGGCGUUAGAAUAUUGAGAGGAGCCUUCUUUAGUACGAGAGGACCGAGAAGGACAUACCUCUGGUGUACCAGUUAUCGUGCCAACGGUAAACGCUGGGUAGCUAUGUAUGGAGUGGAUAACCGCUGAAAGCAUCUAAGUGGGAAGCCCACCUCAAGAUAAGUAUUCUCAUC